rnacentral:lncRNA from 1 species
CACCGGGUUCGCACUAGAACAUGAAAUUGUGGCUGCAGCAGGAUGGUAUUUAUCAUUACAUUUGCAACGAUCCAGAGAAAGGAAAUACAUAUCCCGGAAAAUGGAACUCAGUAUUGUUUCCUUUUGAAACUUGGGGGCGGGUCACAUCCGAACUUUAAUGGACAACCAGGAAUUUACCAACCUCCAAGUCCCGAGCCCCACCUCUCCUGGGUUUCAGAAUUCCUAGCAUAGGUAAGAGCCAAAGAAUGCUGAGGCUUAUGCUUUUAAACCUGAUUCCCCUAAGGAGUACUCCCAGGCUGAGGAGCCUCUUUUUAGGCCUGGAAUGACUAGAACUCUUAUUCUUCCUGUUCUGAAAAGGAUCAUGAAUCAGGUUGUUUUGAAACAGUAUCUACCACCUAUGUUGCUGUAAAUGAUUUUUUUUUCUUUUUUUUUUUUUUUUUUGCGGCUGAAUACUAUUCCAUUUGAUCACUGUGAAUUAUAUAUAUGUUUCAAAUUAUUAUACUGGGCCCUAUAAAGAUGUACAAAUAUGUCAGAGAGAGAGAGAGAGAGAGAAAGAGAGAAAGAAAACAAGCAUGCAUCACCUAAGUUUUGCCCCACCCAAAAGUAUUUCCUGACCUCGGUAUAAUAGUCCAUGAAAUUUCCAGAUUCCUUGAUGACUUGCUCCCCCCACGCCCAUAGCUUUUCUUGUCUAUAAUCUGUUUCAGUUUCAUCUUUAAUCUUCCAUUCCUUUUCUCUUCUAAAUUUCUAUUCCCAUCUAGCAUCUGGCCAUCUGGCUAGCAUUCUCUAACCUUUUAAAUAAUCUCUUUAUAAAAAUUCCAAGUUUGUGAACUGUUAUGGAUUGAUUCAUCACAAAUAGAGAUUUAAAUAGCUUUCUGACGUAGAUUAUUUUUUUAAAAUCUCAAAGUAAACAUUGUUCUGAUGCCCUCUUUUAAGUUUGGAUUAUUAAUGUGUGAUUUAAUAAGGUUGUAGGAGUUCAGAGUUUCCUUAUCACCUCUCAAAAAAUGGUUACUGCCAAAAAUCCAGCUCGGCCUAAAGUUCUGAAAUAGCUUUUUUUUUUUUUUCUUACUAUUUUGUCUUGUCUAGCCCCCAACAUUCUCCUUCCCCUGCUUGUAGUUCUUCAUAACACAAUCAGAUUGUAUAUGUUUAUUUACAUAUUGUCAGUCACUCCCACUUGAAACACAGAACUUGUUGAUUUUUAAAUCUCUAGUAUCUAACACAGUGCUCAGUAUAUAAUAAAAGCUCAUUAAAUGUAUGUAGACUCAUUGAUAAAUUCCAACCCAUGAAGUAUUAUUGGUUCUUUUAAAUAAUGUUCUGCCUCUUACUAUACUUUAUUGUCUCUAUGCAGCUGUUCUCUAACCCUCUCCUGUCAGUAUUAACUGGCAGGAAAAGUAGGACAAUGACCCUAACAGAAUGAUGAAAUGACAGCACUGCAGACAUGGCAUUCUGUGCAGAGAAAGACCUGGCUCUCUUUGUUCAUUUGUCAGUUCAUAUGUUUGACUAUAGGCAGUAGAAGGUGUCACCAACAAUGCUUUAACAAUAUAUUUCUUGUUUACUUGACAGGAAGUUCAGUGGUAACUUCUUGUUGCCUUGUGGUAACCUGGUUGCUUUGAGUUGGACAACCAAGUUUAGAACCAUAUAUGCUUUAAAAACUCUUUUCUCCUGUGCCAUAGCCCGAUGCUCUUCCAGUGGCAAUGGUUACCAUAGCUCUAAUUAGCUCUUCUUCUCACAGAAGUUGAAAUAUAUAGAGAGUGUCUGCAACAACAACAACAGCAGCAAAGAGGAUACUCAGAAAAUAUAUUUAUUUCCUGGAUGCUCUGACUUCAUACAUGUCAUUGGUCCAAACUGAGUCACAUGUGUACCUGUAGGUCAUUAAAUGGCAAAAAAAAGUGAGAUAUUUAUGAUUUUCUGACUCAAUGAUUCUUUUCUGGGGGUUGUUAGUAUCAGAAUUCUGUUAACAAGGAAGAGGGGAAGAUAGUUUUUGAGUAGUAUGUACCUGAAGCGGUUUGAAUAGUUAAAUGCAUCUGAUCAAAUUUGCUGUAGAGCAGACCUGCUUCAGAUAGGCAUUUAAAAGAGUAGUUAAACAGACUAAAAGUAUUUUACAACUAGAGAGAAGGUAAAUUACAUGGUGACUCAUCUCAAUCAAAACAUUCCAUUUUUAUGUGUAUUUAUGUUAUAAGUUAAGCUAGCAUUGAUAUAGGAGGGUUUUUUUUUUAAUGCAAAAUGAAAUCUUUGGUGGUUUUAUUGAUGUACUUAGACCACUUAUAUAGAAUGUAAUUUUGUUAAGGUUGGUAUACUGAUCAGAAUGUUUGGGUUGAAAUCCUAAUUCCCAAGAAAUGGCACUAGGAAGUGAGGACUUUGGAGGUGAUUAGCUCAUGAGUGAGUGGAAUUACGCCUUAAUAAAAUGGCCCCAGAGAAAUCUCUUGCCCUUUCCAUCAUGUGAAGACACAGAAGCCAUCAUAUAUGAGGAGAUGAACUCUUACCAGAUACUAAAUCUUCUGGUACCUUGAUCCUGGACUUUUCAUUUUCUAGAGCUGUGAGAAAAAAAAUAUGGUUUAUAAGCCAUGCUAUUUAUGGUAUUUUGUUAUAAAAUCCCAGUUGGACUAAGACAAUUGGUUUUUAUGUGGAUCAUUUUCAUAUUUGAUUUGAUUAUGACUUCAUUUAAGUAUGUGUUUCUCUGUUCUCCCUUUUUUUUUUUCUUUCUAUCUGAAAUGUCCUGCAAGGAUCAUGUAUUGGAGUCUUGGUCCCCAGUAUAGCAAUGUUCUGAGGAGUUUUGAGGAAGUGAUUGGAUCACCAAGGCUCAGCCCUCACAGAGGGAUUAAUCUAUUGAUAGGUCCAUAAUUUGAUCACAUUAUUGGGAAAUGGUAGAAACUGUAGGAAGUGGGUUCUUGGGGGUGUGCCCUGGAAGGGCUUAUCUUGUCCGACUUCUUUCCUUGUUCUCUCUUUCCUUCUGUUUCCCAGCUACUCUGAGGUGAUCUGCUUUGCUCCACCAUGCUAUUCCACCAUGAUGUUCUGCCUCAAAUAGGCCCCCAAACAAUGGAGUCAGCCAACCAUGAAUUGAAGUCUGUGAAAUUGUAAGCUAAAAUAAAUCUUUCCUUCUCUAAGUUGAUUUUCUCAGGAUUCUGUUCCAGUGAUGAAAAGAUAACACCUUUAUUUUGACUACCUGUAAAUCUUUUAGUAAUCGGCUUGUUUAUACCUAAUUUUUUGACCAUAAUUCUCUAUAUAUUUAGCAGUUAAUCUAGGUAAUAUUAUUUCCAAUCUAUAUUUUUAGCAGUUAAUCUAGGUAAUACUAUUUCCAAUCUACCUUAUAAUUGACCUGUGUGUUGUGUUCACAUACAUUGAAAAUUAUACCAGAUACUUUUUAUAUUUUUGCUUUUGAGAGUUAUUUAUAUUUGUAAAAACUCAAGAGAUAGUUUAUUAUGAUUGUUGGAAUAUUUAUUAUUUCUGUGCUCUUUCUUUUUUCCUGAAAUUUAAGGUUCCCUCAUGACAGCAUUUCAGUUUGAAGAAUUCCAGUUAGUAUUUAUUUUAGAGAAGGCCUUGUAGCAAUGAAUUCUGCUAGUUUUCCUUCAUCUGAGGUUUUUGUUUUUUUCUUUUGCCCUCACUAUUGAUGGAUAUUUUUACUGGAUAUAGAAUUCUGGGUUGUAAGUUCUUUAUGGGUAUAAUCCCACUGUCUUCUGAGAACCUGGAUUUCUGGUAAGAAAUCAGCAAUCCUUCAGAUUCUUGUUCCCUUCUUUCUGAUGAGUCAUUUUUUCUGACUGUUUUUCUUCAUCUUUCGUUUUCAGUAGUUUGAUUAUAUUAUAAGUGGGUUUGGUUUUCUUUGAAUUUAUACUUUUCAGGAGGUUUCUUUCUGUUCUUAUGGAUGUAAAUAUAUGUCUUUUAUCAAAUUUGUGUUUUCUGCAAUUAUUUCUUCAAAUUUUUCUUUCUGUACUAACGUUUUUCUCCCUUUUUUUAGAACUUCAAUACUAGAAGGCUAGAUCUGUUAAAUUUUGCCCCAUACAUCCCUGAGAUUGAUUUUUUUCCCCAAUUUUUAUUCUCUUCAUUUUAGAGGUUGAAUAAAUACUGUUUCAAGUUCAUCAACACAUUUCUAUUCUCCUUGAGAACAUUGAAUGAAUUUUUAAUUUCAGAUAUUAUUUUUCAGUUCUAAAAGAAUCAGUUUCAAUAGUUCCUGUUUCCUUUCUAAUGACAUUGAUCUUUCCAUUUAUUUUCAUAAUGUCUAUUUUUAUCCAUUGAGCAUGAUUAUAAUAAUUGUUUAAAAGUCUUUCUAAGAAUUUUAGUACAUCAGUUAUUUCAGGUUGACAUCUAUUGUUUUUUUCCUCUUUAGAAUUUGUCAUGUGUGCUGGCUUUUUUUUUUUUUUUCUUUCUUUUUUCUUUUGGUUUGGUCUUGUUUUUAUAUGUUGAGUGAUCUUAAAUUUUUUUCCCGGACAUUUUGAAUCAGAUGAUUAGCUGGAUCCUGUUAAAAUCCUUUAGAAAACACCCUCUCUUUUACUUUCACAGGCAGUGGUCUUGGACAUAUUCAGACUGCAGGUUCUGCCCUUCUGUGGGCAGGGUUCCAAUAUCAGCUUAGUUCUCAAUGCCUUUGCUCUCCUGCUGUGAGUCUGUCUCCACAUGAGCAGCUCAGAGGAGUCUGGGACUGAUGUCACUUCACACACAGAGUUAAGAAAUCUCUUUCAUUACUUCACUCUCUAUUGUUUCCCCCACUCCCUGUGGCACCCAGGAUCCCUUUUUUCUAAUCCCCUAGACACAAAUUUGGUGUUUCUCUUUAGAGGAAGAUGCUGCUGAAUAGUUUUAUGCAAUCAGACAAAGCAGUGAAGGGAAAGAGGGGAUUCCUCUUUCACUUCAGAUUAUAGGGUCUUCUUUUCCCACUUCCUCUAACAAGAAAGAUAAGUUUUCUCUUUGUGAAAAAGUUUCUCUCUCUCUCUCUCUCUCUCUCUCUCUCUCUCUCUCUCUUUCUCUCUCUCUCUCUCUCUCUCUCUCAUCGGAAGCUAAUAUAGCCCAGAACUGAGGCCAUUCUCAAAGUAUGAAUAAAUAAAUGGGUGUAAGAGAUGAAUCUUUCUCCCUGAAGAAUUCCAAAUAAUUUAUAUAGAUUCUUCUCCCACUCAGCUUGAUAUGUAUUAGACUUAGUGAUUUUCUUUCAGCCCAGUGAACACUAUUUUAGCCAGGUGAUGAAAGUUAGGAUCACUAGUGAUAAGUUAUGUUGAUAGUGUGUUCCUCUUAUAUGAUAUUAUGAAAAGGACUCAUUGCCUCUUUAAUAUUCUUCCUUAAAAUCCAUAAGUCCAGUAGAAGCACGAGGAAAAAUUAGGCAAUCCCAAUAUGAGGGAUAUUUUUAAAAAUAUUCAUCUAACACUCCUCCAAACUCUCAAGGCCACAGGAAACAAGGGAAGACUGAGGAAGGGUCAUAGACCAGAGAAGUUUAAGGAGGCAUGAUGACAACUUGCAGUGUGUUAUCCUGGAUUGGAUCCUAGAACAGAGAAAGGACUUCAGUGGAAAAACCAUUGAAUCCAAAUAAAGCCUGGAGUUUAGUUAAUAACAAUGUAGAAAUACAAGUUUCUUGGUUUUCUCAAAUGGACCUGGUAAUGUUAACAGUGGGUGUGAGGAACAUUAGAAUCUCCAUCCUAUUUUUGCAGCUUUUCUGUAAAUACAGAUAUUUUCCACAGUAAGCUUUUAUUGAAAAAACAAACAAGCAAGCAAACAUGGAUUGACCUUAUUCUCUCUUGCUUUCAUGUGCCCCUUUUUCCUGGUUCUCUGGCUGAAGGAUAUUUCUCUCUGAGUUUCUGCUGCUUGUGCCCUUGCAUGGUCCCACAGUGGGAACACCCUUCAUUCAAAGCCAGGAAAUAAAAGAGGCAAAAACCUUCCAUAAAACUUAAUCUUGUUCUUCAGUUUUUGACUUUGCCCCCCAAACCACCUCCUAUUGCCAGUGCUCAGAUCAUUUAUUUUAUUAUUAUCAUCUUCAGAGAUUUGUUUUUGAUCUUUGGAAGAGAUAGGAUUCAAUGUUAUAUUCCAUAUUGCCCAAUACCAGAAGUCCUAAUUUCUCUACCUUCAUCCUCAGGUCUUACAGAUGUAGUUGGAUUGCUGCAUAACCAUCAACACUCAGUCAUUAUCUCUUUGUAUAGUGCAAGCAUUCAUCUUAUUAUUGCCUAAGAAUUUUUAGCUUGUAAAUAUGAUAUCUGCUUGUGCAUACCUAGAUCUUAACUAGGGCACUGAACCUAUGUUUUUGCUGAUGUUUGAAAUUCUUUUAUGGCCCAAAUUUCUGUUUCACAAUUGGAGGUAAAAUUUUACAAGGCAAAUACCUCUAGAAAGGAGGACAAGGACUAACCUUUAUGAAACACCUACUAAACUUCAGUCCAGAUGUUCAACAUAUACAAUCACAUUCAAACUGACAGAAACCCUGUGGAGGUGCAUCUUGGGAUAGAAUGCCAAGAUGAUUGAUAAGGAGCCUAAGGUUCAGACAGAUGGGCUGUGUGCCAUGUUUCACAUUCACAGGUAGGAUAAGUUGUAGAGCCAAGAUCAAACCCAACUUUUUCACUGCUCUUGCCUCAAGGAUAAAGGGGUUAGAAGAAGGAAGGGAAAAUAUGAAAGAAGGAAGAGGAAGGGAAAAGCUAAACUUAUUUUAAUAAAUAGAAUGAAGAGACAGUAACAAAUCUCCCUGUACAGUCUUUUUCAUAGUGUCCUGUAUGUGCCUUAUUUACACUGAGGUGCUGCUCUCUGUGUUAAUCAUACUCUGGAUCACCCUGUGCAUCUGUAUGCCUAAAUAUGCCAUCCACUGUCUUCCAAAAAUGAUCUGUGGCAGCUGAGGAGGAAACAACUGAAAUAAGCAUUUUUACUUGGAGGAAAGUUUGAAAGGAGAAGGAUCAUGGGGAAGGAGCAACUAAGUAACCAAUGCAACCCCCAUAGCCAAAAUACAGGUGAUAAUUUUUGUUUGAUUCCCCAUUUGAUGGGAAGACAGAAGUUAAUCUAUUCUGAGUAGUAGAAAAGGUCCUGCCUUCUUAUUUCAUGGUUUACACAUGCAUAAUGUAGUUGUAUUGUGAUUACAAAAGAAUGAGCAGAGAGAGGGAAGAGUUCCCAUGAAUGAACUAAUCGUACAUUACAUUGCCAUUACUAAAACUGUACAAGCAAACACGAAAUCAAGACAUGCAAGGUAAGUAACAAUUAAGGGUCUAAAAUAAAUAUAAUUACAUCUAUAUUGAAAGCAGAAUCCAUGAGAAAAGUUAAUCUCUGACCAAACCUUAUUUGUUCUACAUGAUUGCCCUUUAAUAUCCCUUUCCCUUCAUGAGGGUCUGCUCCAAUUGAAAUUGCCAUGUAAUAACUGACUCUAUUAUUGAUUUCGCAGAACACCUUCUUGCAAGUAUAUGUUGCCUGACAAAGAAUUCUAAUUGAAUUAUGGAAAAAAAUUAUCAUGAAACUUGUGGAGGCUAUAAUGGCUUUAAAAAGUCAUUUUAUGAACUGAGGUCCAAAGAAUGAAGGCAUUCUAUUCCAAUGGAUAGACUCAAGGACAAGAGCCAAUGAGCAUGUGAGUAUGGGUGAGUCCUAUGCCUGUGGUUCGGUACCAUUCAGACCCUUCCACCACCAGCUCCCUUUCCCCCUGUUCUGAAGCAAUAUCUGCCAUCCACCAUUCCCAAAUUAGUAAUGCAUUGGUAAAUGCAUGUGCAUUUAGGAAUAUAUAGGUAUCUAUUUUUCUAUGUUACAAUCUUAUAUAGUUUUAUGCAUUUGUCUUAUACAUACACUGAUAAUCAUAUGUUACUUGUGGGGUUGUACACUAUGUUCUCCUUUACUUCAUACUUCCUAUUAAUACAAAAAAAUCUGUCUCAUAGUGGCAGGAUUCUAUUGUCUGACCACAUCAUUAUUUGUGUAAUCAUAGCCUCACUGAUAGGCAUUUAGGUUAUUUUAGAUUUAGAUCCAUGAAUAGUAAUAACAUUUAAUAUCCUUUAAAGGCUAUGCCAUUUUUAGUGUAAAUGGAUAUAACAAAACUUUUCUUCAAAAAGAUUAUAUCCUUACUAACAGUGCGUGAGAUCACUUUAAAAUUUCCAAUGUUGUGCCUGAAUUAGUCAAGGAAAUAAGUAAAAGAUGGUAUUUCAUUGUGAUUUAAAUUUACCUUUUUAGGAAUAGGAGGGAUUAUGAGUGAAGCUGAGCAUAUUUUCAUAUGAUAUAUAUUUUUUGAAAUGGGAACUCAUAAUUGUUGCUUUUUUCCUUUUUUCUUUUUAAAUUGACUUACAGAUCUUUUUACAGUGUUCUAGGUAUUGAAAUUUGGUGUCAUAUAUUAUAAAUAUUUUGCCAUAUUAUACAUUUUUGUUUUUUUAUCCUAGAGAUGCUUUUAAUUUAAAUUGAAUUAAAUAUAAAUUUAUUUAAUAUAAACAUUUAUUAAUCAUUUACAUUUCAGCUUUAUUUUCUAGAAAAUCGUAAGAAAGCUUCCCCUUCCCACAAUAACACUUUCCCUAUAUUUUGUUCUAAUACUUGUGAUUUUUUAAGCCUUCAACUCUUUAAUAAUCUGAGCAACUUGUGAAGAAAAUAUUUAAUGAUCUCCCCCAAAUUGCCAAUUCCUGCAAUAUAAUUUAUUGAAUAAUUUUCCUUUACCCAUUGAAUGAAACAUUAAUUUUUAUUAUGUGAUAAGUUGAUACAGAUCUGUCAGUAUGUUUUUUGUUUUGUUUUGUUUUGGUACUGAGGAUUGAAUUCAGGGGCAAUUUACCACUGAGAUAUAUUCCAAACCCUUUUUUUUAUUUUUUAUUUUGAGACAGGGUCUUACUGAGCUAAGUUGCUGAGGCUGGCCUUGAACUUGCAAUCUUCAUACCUCAGUCGUCCAAGCCACUGGAAUUACAGGCAUGCACCAUCACACCUGGCUUAUCAGUGUGUUUUAAAAUUAUUUUAUACUGAUAUAUUCUCUAUUCCUGAACCAAAACAACAUUUGUGUUUAUUUCAGCUUUUUCUAUAGUAUAUUCUGAUAACUAGGAGGGCAAAUGUUACCGAAUCUCUGAUCUUUAAACAUUUUAUUUCUUCCAGACAAAUUUUAGGACUAUCUUGUCAGGUUUUAAUCAAAAAUUUUGUUGUUUGAUUGAAAUAGCAUUAGAAAAUCACUGAAUUUAUCUAUUACAUUGUGAAGAAUGAAUAUUUUUAAAUAUUGAAUUUUUUUCCAUCCAGGCACUUAUAUAUAUAUUCUUCAAUAGAAUUUUUAUCUCUUUCUUAAUGUAAGUCACACAUUUCUGAUAAAGUUUAUUUUAUAACUUUCCCCCAUUAUUUUGAGUUGAAUGGGAAUUUUUUCAUAGACAUUUUUGAAUUGAUUAUUGCUAUGCAGAGGAGAAACAUUGCCUUUUGCAUCUGAAUCCUGUCCUUGGCCCUUGGUGGACUCCAUCUAUUAGAAUACAGGGCUUGGAUAUAAAGCUUCCUAAGGUUUUCUUUGUGGGUCAAGUAGAUCAUAGGCUCAUGGGGAAAAUAAGAUAUCAAAGUGUUAAAAUGACACAUUCACCCACAGCUUGUAAUUAUAAUGUCCCUGUGUCUUUGAACCCUUGGGCUAGACAGAGAAGCCUGUGUUACAUAUACGAUGAUGGAAUGGUUGGCCUUUUGCAUCAGCUACAGGGCUGCACAUCACUGUUGAGUGGAGUUUAUUGUGUGAAGUUCGUCGUUAGGUGGAGAGAAGGUCUCCGCUGCAGAUGAAGGGCACAGAGUCAGUGAAAAGAACAGGAGUUUCAGUUCCUAGGUUUAAACCUUACUUCCAACACUUGCUGUGUGAGUCUGAGGAAGAGAUUUUCACUAGGACUCAGAUGCUAAUGCUUUUCUCAUUGUGUGUCUAUCAUGUUAAAUGGAAUAUGGCAUGGAGGAUGUCUCUGAUACAGUAAGUGUCCAUUACAUGGAGGCCUUUGCUGUUGUUGGGAAGAGGAUGUUGGUGGAGGUGGACUUUGUGUCUGACAGGCUGGUUUUGAAGUUCUAGCUCUGCCAUUUCCUAAUGCUAUUUGGACUCUUCAAGCUACUUGUACUCUUUAAGCCUCAAUUUCCUCAAGGUUGGACUGAAGAUAAUUUAAGGAUUAAGUGAGAAUGUGAACAUGCAUGCUUCACAAAUUAUGAUAUUUCAUGUAACUGGAUGGUGGUCAUGUUAUUUCUGGAAAUCUCCCUUCUUUCUGUAGACAAAAAAAUAUAUGUUCUCAUUGAGAUAUAAAGAAGAUGUGUCUCUCAUUAAAACCACAUUUUUAAAUCAAAAUAUAUAAAGUGAGCUUCAGGUAUCAUUUAUGUUUCAUAAAAAAACAUUUCAUGGGCUAGGGAUAUAGCUCAGUUGGAAGAGUGCCUGCCUGGCAUGCACAAGGCCCUGGGUUCAAUCCCCAGCACCACAAAAAACAAACAAAAACCAAAAAACAUUUCAGGAUUUUAGUUACUUGAUUUGUAUGUGUUUUAAAGAUGUUCUCCUACUAUUUUCCAGGUAAUUAUCCAGGCCAUUCUUUCAAAACCAAGUUUUGUCAUGAAACUGAGUACCAUAGAAUUCUGCUUUUCUGAGACAUGAUGAGACUUCUUGCUUCAAGCAAUGGUAUCAUAGAUUACUUAGGAAAAGUGAGAGCAUUGCCGUAAUGUUGGGUCCAAUAUUCUUCUGCUUUCUAGCUGGGUAGAAAUCAUCUUUUUUAUUUAUUUAUUCAUUGAAUUUAGGCAUAGCAGGGAGGCACUUGAAAAAUUGUUAAUGAUUAAAAUUACUUAUCAUAAAUUUGAGUCUGAGGGAUACCUUCUUUAAAAUUGGACACACUGGGCUGUACUGUAAGAAGAAACAUUUUAUUGAAGCAAUUUUAUUGCCAACACACUUUUUUCAAAGUAUCAUAUCCAAAUGCAGAUGGGUUUUUCAACCAAGAAGUGGCUGAUCUGAACAUUCUAGAAGACAGACAUUAACCAUUCACCAAACUGUGCCAACCAUCCUUGAAAAAAAGCACAUUUCAUAAAGAAGCCAUUAAAUGUAAUUAACUGUUUUCUGAACCCAGCUUUAAGACUUCCAAUUAAACAAUUUGUUGAAUUUGUUGCCAUAUCUAUGAACUUUAAAUCUAUUGCUCAGUGAUUUUCAAAGAAGUAAGUUCUUUAAAGGUUAACUGGAAAAAUGCCUGUGGAAACAGGGUGCACACACAGAUCAGAGGUGGAGUUAUCAGCAGGCAUACUUGUGAUAUUAAUCCCAAUUUACUUAAUAUCAGGUGACUCACCUGAAGUGUCUGAUCACAAGAGAUGAAUGGUAUUGUGAGAGAGUCAGUGGGCAUUUCUCCAACCUGCUCAUGAAGGACCUUUGUCCAUGUUGGAGGGAAGCAGAGGCAAAGUUCACAGUUUAUCCACAGGUGUUAGUUACAACUGGGGUCUAUUAUUCUUUGUCCAGGGUUUAUGGUUAAACCAGGUUUGUGCCUGAGUAAAAAAUAUACAAAUACAAGAUGUGCUACAUUCUCAUUUCCCAGGCUUGUCUUGCCAGCUUCUCAGCCAGAGGAGGUACCUAGGAGGAAGGAGAAGGGGAAGGCAGAACUAUGAUAUUGCUUAGGCGAUCUCAAACUGGGCUGUACUUUACCUGGGGAAAUUUUAAAAUACAGAUGCUUGGGGUUUCCAGAUAAUUCCAGUGUACACUGUGAGUGAAGAAAAUGGCUUUGGACACUCAUCAUCCAAAAGAUGAGUUAGUUUUCAACUUCUUAAAUGCAAUCUGGUAACCCUUGUUUAUUUAGAAACAAUGGUAGGGUCAGGUUUAAAGUUGUAGUUUCAAAGAAAUAAAUAUGCAGGAGAGGUGCCAGGUGUGAGUUAUUAACUUGUGAUCUAUGAAAUCAUUUGCCAGGUUUUGAGGAUAUGUGAAUUGGGACGGGGUGAGGAGGAAAAAAGGUUCAUCCCUUUCAAAGAUAAUGGAAGGAAGCCACAAGGAGCAAAUCUUUUAGGAAUCCACUGAAUGAACAUCAAUCUGUACAAAUUUAUGCCUACACUAAGGCACACACUCAGUUUUUAAGAAAGAACAUCUCUAAGUCAUGGAGGGGUAGCCCUGAGUGUUUCCUCAAACCUGUAUCUUUUCCUGUGCCUGCACCUUGUACUUCCUCUAGUCAACAGUUCCUGGUUCCCGGGGGACUAGAGCAGCUCCCACCUACCAUUCUGACUUAAAGAGAGUCACCUUUCCUUGUGCACAGUAGCACAGGGGAAUGUGUUUGAUCUUCUCUAAAGCAUAAAUUAGGAAGUAAAACUAAUACAAUCGCAAACAAUGAAGGAAACAAUGACAAAACAGGUCAUCGGAGUUAAGGGUGACAUGCAGUGUCUUCAUCCAGUGCUCAUACUCUGAGUUUCUCUUUCACUUCCCAGAUAGCUUGUCUGCUUUCCUCUCUUCCAGCCCUCCAUCUUCUCUGGCUAAGAUGGUCUUAGUUUUGGUGACCUGGGGAUUUUCUCAUGAAUCAAAAGACUCUGGCUGACUCUUAAGAAACGCUUACUAUUAUUUCUUCAUACCUUCAGCACCAAUUUUUAAUCCCUUAAAAGGGAUUGAAACCAUGAUUGGUGAAUAGGUCUGGACUCUGAUGUUAAAUGCCACCAAUGGAUAAGAGCCUCCUCAUAAAAUUUCUUAAAUUGAAAUGUGCAAAUGAGCUUCUUGUUCAAAUGCACAAUGAUAUCCUCUGAGAAGCACCAUGACCAGUGGGGUCCUAGAGCAUUCUGUUGAGAAUGACUAAUGCUGGCAGUCAAAAACAGUGCUGGGAUCCUUCAGGUAUAUCUGCCAUAUGGGGCAGGGAAGGGGCUGUACAGUUCUGAUGUCAUGUAUUUGACAAAUCGGAUGAUGUUUUCUUUUUUAGUAUAUCAGAGCCAUUGCCUUCUGGAGCAUUUGGUAGCUAUGGCCAGAUGUACCAUUGUGGUGGGUUAUUUUCCAUUUUCUUUGUCAAUUUUAUUUAUUUCUUCAGCUCAGAGAGGGAGACGGUCUUAUCCCUACAAAUAAGGAAUGGUUCCCAUCACACACUGCCUUCAACCCACUGUAGAACCAGUCAUAUCAGCACAGUGCAAGCUCACUCCCUUCUGCUGACAGAUUGGGUUUGGAGAGUUAACAAUUUGCAAGCCAGAUCUCUGUUCUGUUUGAUGGGAAUCAGUCUUUGGUCCUUCUUGCUAUUUUGUUUCCUGCCCCAGUCCAGGCUCAGCUCUAGUGCACCACUGAAACUGGAACCCAGUCCUGCAAUAGAGGCAAGUUCUCACUUCUCUUCUUCUGAGUUCAGACUCUACUUCUGAUACUCCUGGUCCAACAUAGAUGGAUUUGUGAAGGUCUGAUGCUGACAGCAUCCAGUGCUGACCUUUGUUCUGAGCCAUAUUAUGUUUCCCCACCUUCUCACUGCUGCCUUUGGACAUUGAUGCCAGUCCCACAUGGGCCAACAUUAGCCCCUUGCUGUGACUUGAUGAGUUAGGUGUCCCUGAGUCUUGUAGUUCAUCCCUAGAAGGUGCUGGCAUGUUAAAUAAUUCCUAGGUGUGGUGAUGUUAAUAUUAGUAAUUGUAAUAAUAAAAGCAGUAACAGUGACCAUUUAUUGAACAAAUUUGAUGUUCUAAGCUCUACACUAAGUGAAUUACAUAUAUUGUUAAAUUUAAUUCUCAGAAGAACCCUAUGGAGUAAUUUCCAUUUUGGGCACAAUUUUAUUAGUGAGAAAACUGAGGCCCCAGAAGAAUUAAGACACUUGUCUAACAUCUCUCAGUAAUAAGUGGAUCUUAGAUUGGAACUCAGUUUUUGGAUUAAAGGUCUGCGCCCAUAACCACAUGGUGCACUGUCUCUACUGCCAGGUGCCCGAGUCUGUCCCUGAUUGACAGCUGCUAGAACUCUAAAGAAAGGAAAUACUAAUGAUCUUCUUUUAGAAACUGCUGAAAUGUCAGCUAGUUAAAUAUCUUUGGGAGGCAUCUGAUCAUGUUGCAUUUGUAUGUACUCUCAGUUCUUCAUAAUCAAAGCUCUCGAAAGUUCAUGGGCACUCUUUCUGCAUAGAGAUGACUGCUCACAGUUUAAAUACCUGGGAAGGGAGCUGAUACCUUCUGUCAUCCCCAAUUGAUGUUGUGUAUUAGUGAGGAAACAUGACCAGCAGAAAGUGAAAUUCAUUAAGUAUUUCAUGCCUGCAGUGAUUAUAAAACUCAACUGCAAUAAAUGAGCCAAUAGAACAGUGGUAUGAAGCUGCCAUAUGUCAGUGGAAAGCAGAAAGCAGGAGAUGGUUGCUUUCCAAGCUUAAAUAUGAAUACUUGGUCCAAUCGCCAAAAUCUUUGGCCUCUCUUGGCAUAUGAUAGCCCUGGCAUACAGCAGCGCUGCCACAUUGAAAUGCUGCUAGACAGUUCAGCCUUUGCAGAAAAUAACAUUUUGGGCUAUUGCAUUAAUUGCUAUUGCUUUGCAUUUAUAUUACUUUUUGUACUCAGGAAAGUUUAAGUAAUUUUAAAAGGUAAUUUUAAAAAUUCCAGUGAUGUUCUGAGGGAUCUCUGAGUGCUUUGUCUGUGGUAUCUUCUGAUUCAUAGUUCUUAGAAAAGGGGUAUCAGUGCUUAUUAGGAACAUGCCCUAAGGUAACAAUGCAGUCACAUGCUCAGGUCUCAUGGUACUAAAGCAUAGGUUACCACAAUUGUGGUAGGGAAUGCAGGCUUCUUUAAUAAUAUGCAACAGAAAUGAGUCUAGCUAACUCAAUUAGAAAAGAAAUGCAUUCAUUGGAAAGCAUGUGGUAGUUUAAAAAAGGAAAAGAAAAGCUGACUUACCAGACAGAACAGGAGUGGGGAAACUCCAGAAAUCUUGGCAUCAAGAACAAAUGUUCCACAUUUUCCCACUGGUCAUUAUCAGACUGAAAUCAUUAAUGUUCCCCCCUUAUGUAUCUUUCAGGGUAUACUCCCAGUGACCCACUUCCUCCAGCCAUAAGACAACACCUGACUAUAGUUUCUCUCCAGUCCAUUCAAACUAGGAUAGACUGAAUAAAUUACAGCUCUCUUAAUCAAGUUGUUUCACCUUUGAACAUUCCUGCAUCAAUACAGUAGCUUUUGGGGGACACCUAAUAUCCAAACCAUAACAGUGGCUUAAAACAAAAAUCAACAUUUCUAUUUCCCAUUUUCUGAAGAUCAGGAAUCUCAUUGUGGCUUAGCUAGGACCUUCUGGCUUGGGGGUCUCUCAUAAGGUUUCAGGCAAGGCAUUGGUCUUUGCUGUAAUCAUCUGAGGUAGAAGGAUGCACUUUCAAGGUGACAGUCUCACCUGAUUGUUGGGUUGGUAGUUGACUGGAGGCCUCAGUUAUUCCUCAUGAAGGCCUCUCUCCACAGGCUGCUUAAGUAUCUUGCCAACAGGAUGGCUGACUCAUGCCUAGUAAGCCACCUAAGAAAGAAAAUCAAAAGUGGCAAUGCCUCAGAAGACUCAUACCUUCACUGUGCCAUAUUCUCUAUUAGAAAUGAGUCACACAUUUGUCCUGCAUUUAAAAGAAAUGGAAUUAGCUCUAUUUUUUGAAAGGAAGAAUGUGAAAGAAUUUUCAGAUUCAUUUUAAAACUACCACAAAGUGCCAGCCUGUAAUCAGUCUUCCACCUGACUAUUAAUUAAUGAAAAAGAAUGGUUACCACUAAAGGAAGGUUAGCACUGGUUUCUCCUAAGUGAUGACAACUGAGCUGGGGUUUAAAAGCUCCAUAGGAGGUUCUGUAGUACUCAAUGGCAUUUCAUUUGAAGGGCUUUAAAUAUGGAAAGCCUUGAAAGUGUGAACCAGCAUGGCAUAUUGCAGAAAUUGUAAGUGCUUAGUUUGGAAUUCCUAGAAUCUGAGAUAUAAGGAAACACUGGUGGAAAACCAGACUGAGGAAAAGGGCCAACCAUCAAAAGCUUAAAACUUAACACGUAGUGUGAUCACCCAUCUUAGUUUUUCAGGACAGUCCUUGUUAAUGCAUGCUAUCUUGGUUUAAUUAUUAAUAGAGUCCUCUUCCACAGUCACAAAGUCCUGGUUUGGACAAUAAAUUGUAUAGUCAAUUUAAUUCUGUACCACCACUACCACAUCACCACCACCACCACAACAACAACAAAAAAGAAAAGAAAAAAGAAAGAAAGAAAGAAAGAAAGAAAAAAGCAGUGUCCAUAGUUUAGUCAAUGACUGAAUUUUUCACUCUAUAAUAAAACAAUGAAAAAUGUACCUAUUUUGUAUAGAGAAUACAUUGGAGAAAAAAAUCAGAAUCAUGGAAAUUAAUUUCAGUAGGUGAUGGUGGUACAAGACUUUUAAAAAGCCUUCUUAAUGUGUUUUCCAGAAGAUUAUGUUUUAAUUUUCUUUGGCUUCUUGUUGAAAUGCAAAUAAUUUUUUAAAUGAAUGGGAAAUUUUCUUUUACUACACAAACUAAGAAGUUUAAUAGCAUUGGUUUUAUUUGAAAAAAGUUACAUGAAUUAACUGAUAAGAGAGACUAGUCAUAGGAGAAAUUUCAUUACACUUCUUUUUCUAGAAAAUAUUUAAUUAUAAAAGUUUGGCUCCUAGUAAUGACUCAAACUAUACAGAAAAGUUUACAAUCAAAUUUGUUGUUCAAUCCCUUUUGAUUUUAAUAAACUCCUCUAAGUUAAGUAAUGGUCUUUCUAUCUAUCAACUUAUUAAGAUAUUUGUCUUUGUUCAUUUUGUGCUACUUUAACAGAAUGCCUGAGUCUGGGUAAUUUAUAAUGAAGAAAAAUUUAUUGACUGACAGUUCUGGAGGAUGUAGAGUCCAGGAUCAAGGCACUGGCAUCUGCACUGGUGAGGGCCUUCUAGAUAUGUCUUCAUAUGGCAGAAAGCAGAAGAGAAAGGAGCAAGAAUGAACCCAUAUAUGGGAACCCUUUUUAUAAUGACAUUAAUCUAUUCAUGAAGAUUCCGAUCCAAACACUUCCCAGCAUUAUGUUCUACCUACCAACAUUGUUGCAUUGUGCUUAAGUUUACAACACAUUAUUUCUGGGGCAUAUAUUCAAGCCAUAACAGAUAUUAUCAUUUAUUUUAUUUAUAUAUUCUAUAG